rnacentral:lncRNA from 1 species
CAUCCAUUUGUUUCAAAAGCUAGAUAUAAAGUAAAUUUAGGUAGGGGAUCUGGUUGCUCAUAAUGCAGCUUGAGACAAUAGAUAGAAAUAAGGCAGUUGCUUAGGGACGACAUCAAAAGAUCGAUGUAGGAUAAAAAACUUAAAUCAAAUAGUUUGGGGGUGGGGGGGGUUAAACUUCUGCAAGUUUUGUAUAUCUAAAAUCGAUUUUUACAUAUAUCCCUAUUGGUAAAUCAAUGUUUCCCAAAUUAAGUUCAGAGGGGGGGUGGGGGGUCAGUGAAAAAACUAUGUGAAUUAAGUUUUUUAUCCUACAUUGAACUUUUGAUGUCAUCCCU